UACGUAGGUGGCAAGCGUUGUCCGGAUUUACUGGGCGUAAAGAGCGCGCAGGCGGUCGUUCAAGUCGAGUGUGAAAGCCCCCGGCUCAACUGGGGAGGGUCACUCGAUACUGAUCGACUCGAAGGCAGAAGAGGGAAGCGGAAUUCCCGGUGUAGUGGUGAAAUGCGCAGAUAUCAGGAGGAACACCAACAGCGAAGGCAGCACUCUGGGCCGGUACUGACGCUGAGGAGCGAAAGCAUGGGGAGCGAACAGG
rnacentral:rRNA from 1 species